UGGGGUGUCGCCAAGUGGUAAGGCAACGGGUUUUGAUCCCGUCAUUCGCAGGUUCGAUCCCUGCCACCUCAG
rnacentral:tRNA from 2 species